UGAGUCAGCUGGGCAAUUGCUGUUUUGAGCUCUUUGUUUAACGUUUAGACGUUAUCUAAGGAAUGAAGCAGAGGAAAGUCCGGGCUCCGCAGAGCAGAGUGCCAGGUAAUACCUGGGGGGUGCGAACCUACGGAAAGUGCAGCAGAAAGUAAACCGCCAUUAAGCCUAGCUUAGUGGUAAGGGUGAAAGGGUGCGGUAAGAGCGCACCGCGCGACUGGUAACAGUUCGUGGCAUGGUAAACCCCGCUCGGAGCAAGGCCAAAUAGGAAUCUUUUAGUGCUGCUCGCACUGGAUUCGGGUAGGCCGCUUGAUACCUGUGGUGACACAAGGUACAGAUGAAUAAUUGUCCACGACAGAACCCGGCUUAUAGGUUGACUCACUAA
rnacentral:RNase_P_RNA from 1 species